rnacentral:lncRNA from 1 species
GCUAGCCAGCGGCAACUCUUCACGAGUAAGGUUCUCCCGUGAACGUUUUUUAAGGGUACUACAUUCUCACUGCCUGCUGUAACUCCAGAGAUUCUAACACCCUCUUCUGGCAUCCACAGGGUACUACAUUCUCACUGCCUGCUGUAACUCCAGGGAUUCUGACACCCUCUUCUGGCAUCCACAGGGAAUUCUGAAGGUUUGAAGCUACUAACUGUUUGAUGAAGUUAACUGAAAAAGGAUGGAAGCUGUCAACUGCUUGAUGAAGGUCUGCUCCUUCUACUCUGUGUUUGAGUCUUUAUGGUCCUACCAUAUCUCCAAACAGCUAUGAAGAAACAACUAAAGUGGGUAGAGAGAUGGCUCAGCAGUUAAGAGCCCUGGCUACUCUUCCAGAAAGCCUGAGUUCAAUUCCCAGCAACCACGUGGUGGCUCACAGCCAUCUAUAAUGAGAUCUGAUGCCCUCUUCUGGCAUGCAGUUGUACAUGCAGAUAGAGCACUCAUUAAAUAAAAAUCUUUAAAAA